CACGGGGGGAGCAAGCGUUGUUCGGAAUCACUGGGCGUAAAGAGCGCGCAGGCGGUCGGAUAAGUCGAAUGUGAAAGCCCCUGGCUCAACCAGGGAGGGUCAUUCGAUACUGUUCGACUCGAAGGCAGGAGAGGGAAGUGGAAUUCCGGGUGUAGUGGUGAAAUGCGUAGAUAUCCGGAGGAACACCAGUGGCGAAGGCGACUUUCUGGCCUGUUCUUGACGCUGAGGCGCGAAAGCUAGAGGAGCAAACGGG
rnacentral:rRNA from 1 species